AUUGAACGCUGGCGGAAUGCUUUACACAUGCAAGUCGAACGGCAGCACGGGGCAACCUGGUGGCGAGUGGCGAACGGGUGAGUAAUACAUCGGAACGUGCCCAAGUCGUGGGGGAUAACGUAGCGAAAGUUACGCUAAUACCGCAUACGAUCUACGGAUGAAAGCGGGGGAUCGCAAGACCUCGCGCGAAUGGAGCGGCCGAUGUCAGAUUAGGUAGUUGGUGGGGUAAAGGCUCACCAAGCCAACGAUCUGUAGCUGGUCUGAGAGGACGACCAGCCACACUGGAACUGAGACACGGUCCAGACUCCUACGGGAGGCAGCAGUGGGGAAUUUUGGACAAUGGGCGCAAGCCUGAUCCAGCCAUUCCGCGUGCAGGAUGAAGGCCUUCGGGUUGUAAACUGCUUUUGUACGGAACGAAAAGGUCCUGGUUAAUACCUGGGGCUCAUGACGGUACCGUAAGAAUAAGCACCGGCUAACUACGUG
rnacentral:rRNA from 1 species